rnacentral:rRNA from 1 species
UACAGAGGGUGCGAGCGUUGUCCGGAAUCACUGGGCGUAAAGGGCGCGUAGGCGGCGCGGUAAGCGUGCGGUGAAAGCCCGGGGCUCAACCCCGGGUCGGCCGUGCGGACUGCCGGGCUGGAGCACUGUAGAGGCAGGUGGAAUUCCGGGUGUAGCGGUGGAAUGCGUAGAGAUCCGGAAGAACACCGGUGGCGAAGGCGGCCUGCUGGGCAGUAACUGACGCUGAGGAGCGAAAGCGUGGGGAGCGAACAGG